rnacentral:rRNA from 1 species
CCUACGGGAGGCAGCAGUAGGGAAUAUUGCUCAAUGGGGGAAACCCUGAAGCAGCAACGCCGCGUGGAGGAUGAAGGUUUUCGGAUUGUAAACUCCUUUUGUUAGAGAAGAUAAUGACGGUAUCUAACGAAUAAGCACCGGCUAACUCCGUGCCAGCAGCCGCGGUAAUACGGAGGGUGCAAGCGUUACUCGGAAUCACUGGGCGUAAAGAGCGCGUAGGCGGGAUAGAAAGUCAGAUGUGAAAUCCUAGGGCUUAACCAUAGAACUGCAUUUGAAACUGUUAUUCUAGAGUAUGGGAGAGGUAGGUGGAAUUCUUGGUGUAGGGGUAAAAUCCGUAGAGAUCAAGAGGAAUACUCAUUGCGAAGGCGACCUGCUAGAACAUAACUGACGCUGAUGCGCGAAAGCGUGGGGAGCAAACAGGAUUAGAUACCCGUGUAGUC